AGAGCAUCUGCCUUACAAGCAGAGGGUCAUAGGUUCGAGCCCUAUAACUCCCACCA
rnacentral:tRNA from 1 species